AACCAAGAUGAAUCGUGAUGUAAGAAGCUUGAUUUUGAUACAUAAAGUAGUGAAGAAUCACUAGGAAGUUGAAUAAAUUUCAUAGGAGUUAGGAUGAAGUAUACACUUUUGUGUAUGUAGAGUGAUGAAUAAAUAUCAAGAGAUGAUUUGUUUAGUUUGUAUGAGAUUAGGAGAUUAAGAGAGACUAAGAGAAUAAAGAACAAGAGAGAAUAC
rnacentral:lncRNA from 1 species